rnacentral:rRNA from 1 species
UACGAAGGGGGCUAGCGUUGCUCGGAAUGACUGGGCGUAAAGGGCGCGUAGGCGGAUGGCACAGUCAGAUGUGAAAUUCCCGGGCUUAACCUGGGGGCUGCAUUUGAUACGUGUUGUCUUGAGUUCGGAAGAGGGUCGUGGAAUUCCCAGUGUAGAGGUGAAAUUCGUAGAUAUCAGUAGGAACACCAAUGGCGAAGGCAGCUUGCUGGGCCGUUUCUGACGCUAAGGCACGAAAGCGUGGGGAGCGAACAGG